UAUACCGUGAAACUGCGAAUGGCUCAUUAAAUCAGUUAUCGUUUAUUUGAUAAUACCUUACUACUUGGAUAACCGUGGUAAUUCUAGAGCUAAUACAUGCUGAAAAUCCCGACUUCGGAAGGGAUGUGUUUAUUAGAUAAAAAACCAAUGCCCUUCGGGGCUUUUUGGUGAUUCAUGAUAACUUUACGGAUCGCAUAGCCUUGCGCUGGCGACGGUUCAUUCAAAUUUCUGCCCUAUCAACUUUCGAUGGUAAGGUAUUGGCUUACCAUGGUUUCAACGGGUAACGGGGAAUUAGGGUUCGAUUCCGGAGAGGGAGCCUGAGAAACGGCUACCACAUCCAAGGAAGGCAGCAGGCGCGCAAAUUACCCAAUCCCGACACGGGGAGGUAGUGACAAUAAAUACUGAUACAGGGCUCUUUUGGGUCUUGUAAUUGGAAUGAGUACAAUUUAAACCUCUUAACGAGGAACAAUUGGAGGGCAAGUCUGGUGCCAGCAGCCGCGGUAAUUCCAGCUCCAAUAGCGUAUAUUAAAGUUGUUGCAGUUAAAAAGCUCGUAGUUGAAACUUGGGCCUGGCUGGCGGGUCCGCCUCACCGCGUGCACUCGUCCGGCCGGGCCUUCCUUCUGAAGAACCUCAUGCCCUUUACUGGGCGUGCUGGGGAAUCAGGACUUUUACUUUGAAAAAAUUAGAGUGUUCAAAGCAGGCCUUUGCUCGAAUACGUUAGCAUGGAAUAAUAAAAUAGGGCGUGCGUUUCUAUUUUGUUGGUUUCUAGAGACGCCGCAAUGAUUAACAGGAACAGUCGGGGGCAUCAGUAUUCCGUUGUCAGAGGUGAAAUUCUUGGAUUUACGGAAGACUAACUACUGCGAAAGCAUUUGCCAAGGAUGUUUUCAUUAAUCAGUGAACGAAAGUUAGGGGAUCGAAGACGAUCAGAUACCGUCGUAGUCUUAACCGUAAACUAUGCCGACUAGGGAUCGGGCGAUGUUCUUUUUCUGACUCGCUCGGCACCUUACGAGAAAUCAAAGU
rnacentral:rRNA from 3 species